GGCUUUGUAGUCGCGUGGUAAGGAUACUUGUCUCACACCCUGGUGUCCCGGGUUCAAUCCCCGGUCGAGGAGCUA